rnacentral:lncRNA from 1 species
CUAAGGAAGAAUGUUCAGAGAGAUGCAAAGUUUCUGGCUUUGAAGCUGGAGGAGGCAGGGAGUGCAAGUGGCCUCUAGAAGAUGAAAAAGCAUGAUUAGAAAGAAUGCAGUCUACCCAAGCGGGACUACUGUGAAGGAGAUAACAUUCAUUUGAAAAGGAUACGUGGAAGUGGGAUAAAGAUCACUUUCAGAAAGGAGUACAUCAAAAAAAUUCCCAUCCAAGGUGUCAAUGUCACUAAAGGAAUAUUCUCUGCUAUUUAAGUGAGAAUUCUUCCACUUCUUUCCAUUUCAUCAGGCAGAGAUUAUUAUACAUUUUGAAGCACAUGUUGGAGCUUGGAAGAAGAAUGAAGGAUAAAUAAGGGUCUUGUGCUAUGGACAAAGCAAAUCAUGGAAGAGAAUCUUACCUUGGGCAGAAUGGUUGUGUUUGUGGAAAGUUUGAAGAGAUUAAACUGAUGAAGCUUCUAUUUAUAGAACUAUUCUGAUUGUUUCUGUUUUCCCCAGGCUACUGGAGGUAAAUACAUAUGCUAUUCAUUGACGAAUAUGUUUUAUUUUUCUGUCAAAAUAUAUGUGAUAGAGUAUCUGCAAAUUUUGCAUAUAUUAAAGCUACAAAGAGAACAAAGGGACAACUUAAAAAGAUGAUAGUGUGUAAGUUGGCAUGGGCUGAGGAAGUUUAUGUGCUAAAAUGAUUAUUUGGCAGCAUAAUUUUGUGAAAGGGGGCAUGACGUAUAUAGGACUUGCAAGACGAAGCUCAAAACUGAAAGGAGCAUAUUCUUGAAAUGGAUCACAGGGAAGGAUUCAAACAAGAGAAUCUCAAUAGAACUAUUACAGCCAAAAGAGGCAAAGAAAAUGAAGAGGCUAGCUGAGCUAAUGCUAACUGAAGGAAUUAAAAUGAAUAAGCAUGCUCAUUUAUAAUUUUAUCAUGGAAAAAUAAAUACAAGUGGGAGAAUGGCCCGUCAAUAAAUGAGGAGGGAGGAGAAAUCAAUGUUAGUUGUAAAAUGUCUGAGCUAUUGAACUGCUGUUUUCAAGUCAGUCUUUAUAAAGAAAUAGGGGUCUGGAUAAUUAGGAAGUAAUUAAGGACCAACCGACUUUCAGGCACUAUUGAUGAUAAAUAAGUAAAUAAUUACCACUUGCAUUAACAAAAUGUGUGCAUAUGUGGAAGAAAUGCAUUCUAUAGAAAUUUCCACGUUUUGAUGGUAAUUAUUGUACUACUUGUUUAAUUAGCCAAUGAGUGGGGGAAAAAUAACCCACCUCCAAACAUGCACAAUUAAAUAGAUGCAAUGAUUUGGCCAGAGGAAAAAGACCAAGGUAUGAGCUUUUCAGGCUGAAAUUAAAAUAAUCUGCUAUCAGCUUAUCUAAACAAAUUAACUAACAAAACACACACAGCAAACAAUGCUAUAGUAAAAUAAUUUAGUCUGGAAUUGCCAGGUGUGGGAUUAGGAACUGUACAAUGCAAAGUAUCUUUCUUAGUUGUCCAGUGAGCCUGGACCACCCAAAAGACUGAUUUUACAAUUUUUAAAAGUGCCACGUAACUGGGAGAUUUACAUCUCUCAGAACUAAAGUUUUAUGGAAAAUUGUAAACUUUCCAGUUUGUGCUACAUAAUGUGGACCUAGGUAUGAGCUGGGUAUAUAGUCUGAAUUGGAUAAACAUGUGUCCUACACUUUUUAAACAUGGAUGAAUUGAUGCAAGAAUGGAGUUCUUUUUUUUGUAAUUCAGAGGUAGUACAGAGUGGUAAAGAACAAAAGAUUUUUAGUCAGACAGACCUAGUUUAGAAUCUUGCCUCAAACUCAUGCAAUGAGCACAUGGGCAAAUGCUUUAACCUUUUUGAGGGAUGGUAAUUAUAUUUACUACAUAUAGUUGUAUGAAGAUAAAGUGAAAUCGUAGAUAUACAGUUCUUGGCACAAAGUAGAUAAUAAAUAAAACUUAUUAUCAUAAUAAUAUGGUAGAGUUAAGUAUAACAUGUGAUAUAAAUGCUUGCUCAAAAGCUAGAGAAUCCAGAAUCUAUUUUUGUUUUAAUUUUGAAUGACAUAGAACUUGUGAGAUUGGUACUUGAUAAAUGGUAGCUAUUAAUGGUAUUUAUUAUUUAGCCCUGUUACCUUAGAAAAAUUAUAGUCUCAUUUGACCUCAUUUUCCACCUACAUUAGGAUUAACCUAUUUUUUUGGCAGCAUUUUUGUAUUCUGAGCAUUAUUGGAGCACGUGGUUCCUGAAGGAAUUUGAGUUUACUUGGAGAGGUAAAACUAAUAUAUAGGAAACAACUGGAGAUAAAAGUGGGUCUAAUUUACCACAAGUACUCCAGGAGUUCAGAGAGCAGAGAGGGUAGGGCAUUGUAGUAACAGAAGGUAUGGCAAGGACAAAGUGGAGUUUACUCUGUGCCUUGAGGAUUAUUUAAGAUUUGUACGGAUGAGGAGAUGAUGAUGAAGAGGCUGGAAUGGUUUUUGGGUGGGAAACCAGCCUAAGCUGGUGUGGAAGUAGAAAUGAAUGCAUCUAGUGAUUACAUCUCUGAAACAUGGGGCAUGUGAUCUGGUAUAAGAUAUGAGGAUUGCAUCAGAAUAUUUGAAAUUGGGCUAUUGGUCCACAUAUGAAGAGAGGUUAAUAGAUGUUGACUAGAAGGGAGUGUUAAAGUUGGAUAAAUAACUGGAGAACAAAGCAGAAAGCUGCUAUUACUUGCAAUAACUGCCUUUCUAUGGGUGUUGUGGCUUUAGAUGAAAUGAGAUAUUUGAAUCCCUAAAGCAGUUUUCUUUUUGUGGGAGCUCUACGACCAUCCAUAGAAAUUUCACUUUUCUUGUCUGAGUCCUCCACUAGUCUAUGAGUCUCUUAAGGUAGGAACCAGGUUUUGUUUAUUUCCAUAUAUGAGCACUUAACACAGUACCUGUCACAUAAUAACAAAUGUGAAAUAUUUGUG